rnacentral:rRNA from 1 species
CCUACGGGAGGCUGCAGUGGGGAAUAUUGGACAAUGGGCGAAAGCCUGAUCCAGCCAUGCCGCGUGUGUGAAGAAGGCCUUCGGGUUGUAAAGCACUUUCAGUGGGGAAGAAAGCCUUGGGGCUAAUACCCUCGAGGAAGGACAUCACCCACAGAAGAAGCACCGGCUAACUCCGUGCCAGCAGCCGCGGUAAUACGGAGGGUGCGAGCGUUAAUCGGAAUUACUGGGCGUAAAGCGCGCGUAGGCGGUCUGAUAAGCCGGUUGUGAAAGCCCCGGGCUCAACCUGGGAACGGCAUCCGGAACUGUCAGGCUGGAGUGCAGGAGAGGAAGGUAGAAUUCCCGGUGUAGCGGUGAAAUGCGUAGAGAUCGGGAGGAAUACCAGUGGCGAAGGCGGCCUUCUGGACUGACACUGACGCUGAGGUGCGAAAGCGUGGGUAGCAAACAGGAUUAGAUACCCGAGUAGUC